rnacentral:misc_RNA from 1 species
GUUGGUGAACCAGCGGAGGGAUCAUUACAGAGUUAUCUAACUCCCAAACCCAUGUGAACUUACCACUGUUGCCUCGGCAGAUGUUGCUGGGCGAACCUACCCUGUAGCCAGCUACCCUGUAGCGACCUACCCGGGAACGGCUUACCCUGUAGCGCCUGCCGGUGGACUACUAAACUCUUGUUAUUUUUAAGUAAUCUGAGCGUCUUAUUUUAAUAAGUCAAAACUUUCAACAACGGAUCUCUUGGUUCUG